rnacentral:lncRNA from 1 species
UGGCAAAUGCAGCUAGCUAGUUUAGCCUACUGAAACACCCUGCUCAAACAGAGGGAUGCUUUGUUAGCUAGCUGGCUACCCAACAAAACACUGGAACUCUUCCAAGUCAAGAUACAAAUGCAGAUUGUUUCUGUCAUCUAAGGACAGCUGAUGUGCCGGGUGCCACUCACAGUGAGGAGGAGAAGGAAGCGAUACAGUGAAUAAAUACAGAACUGACAGAAACGCACCGGAACAGAGCGUGAGGAGCAUCCACAGAGAGACUGACUGGAAAGACAGUUAGCCAUGCAUGCUCUGGGACCUGAGCACAAUGCAAUCACCUUCUUUUUAGAGACAUCACAAAGCAGAGCGUGCUCCAACAGCAGCGGAGUGGGGAAGGCGGAG